GACAGAGGUGCCGAGCGUUAGGCGGAAUCACUGGGCUUAAAGCGCGUGUAGGCGGACCGUUAAGUGUCUUGUGAAAUCCCCCGGCUCAACCGGGGAACGGCUGGGCAUACUGGCGGUCUUGGGCCACCUAGGGGCGAGCGGAACAGGCGGUGGAGCGGUGAAAUGCGUAGAUAUCGCCUGGAACGCCGACGGUGAAAACAGCUCGCUGGGGGUGUGCCGACGCUGAGACGCGAAAGCCAGGGAGCGAACGGG
rnacentral:rRNA from 1 species